GGAGAUGUAGCACAGUUGGUAAAACGUUUGCUUAGCAUGCGAGAGGUCAUGGGUUCGAUCCCUAAUAUCUCCA
rnacentral:tRNA from 1 species